UGUUUCUUCAGUCUGUUUCUGUGACCUUUCUAAAUAGCUCCCUGUUCCACCUAUGAAUGUACACAAUGUUUUAUUUCACAAAGCUCUUGAUGGCUAGUCUGUACCACAUACGCUCAGCCUUAUAACAAAGUAGCUAUUAUUCCCUUUUGAAAGGCAUUUUUUUGAGGAUCUAUAUUUUAGCCCCUGCAAACCAGAUUCUGUCCAAAUUUUAAAAAAGUGUUUUUGAGGAUCUAUAUUUCAGCCCCUGCAAACCAGAUUCUUUCCAAAUUAAAAAAAAAAGUAGAUGGAGCCAACCAUUGUCUUUCACAAUAAGCAAGAUUGGUCUUUUUAAUUUAUAUGAGCUGUUUUAAAACUGAGGAUGUUUAGAGUUGCUUAUUUCUGAGUGCAGAGGCCAUUUUACUUUUUUAAAAUCAUAACCUGAAAAUCUUUUGCCCAAACUUUUCCAAAUUUGGCACAGAGUAAAAGAUACAUUUAGUGCUGGCUGAAUGACCCAGUGUAACGGAUGUAUACAUUGCAGCUGUCUAUUAGCCUGUGCAACUUUUAUUCAUACAAUGCUUGUGUGUGUGUUUGCUUAAAUAACCUUUUUUUGGUUGCUAUUUCUGCUUCAUUGAUAAAUCAGAUCCACUCCUGAAUGGUCUGUGGCAGUCUCAGCUAUGAGAGCAACGGCAUCUCCUAGAUUGAAGGAACUGGCACAGCCCCGACCUUACCCAGCUGGUUGGAAGUUCCAUCGCUCCCCUUAUUCUGUGGUGACUAAAGCAGCACUGUCAGCUUUACCUUCUGAACGGAUUACUGUUCUUGCUAAGCCAAGAGUAAGAACAGAUGCAAACAGUAAGUUAUCUGUUUUUGACCUUCACAUUACAGCUGACAUAGGUUUGUUCUUCAAACCACUCCCGCUGCAGCAGAUUUAGGAAGGUGCUCAAUACUUUUAAGAUUGAUAGUGCUAAGUUAUGUUGUUCCUGAAUCUAUCUCUUGUAGGACUGAAGACUUCUGAAGGGGCUGGAGAAUUUAGGGAAGAGAUUUGGAUGCAACACAACAUCCUUGUUUGGAACCUCUGCAUCCAAACACAGCAUAGUUAACAGUGGCAUCCAGACUCCAAUAGAAGAGGGAUGAGAAGGAGAAAAGUGUCCCUCCAGAUCACUGACAUAUAGAGGAAUAUAUAUGUUCUCUUUCCAUUCCAAACUUUCUCCAAAAGCUCAAUGAAAAGUCACUAUAACCAUUUACCAAUACAAAACUGUGAAAUAGCUUAGACUGCGAAUUAAUGAUGGGAACUUCUAUAUGUAUCUCUUGCUCUUCUAAUUUCUGCCCCAUUGGAAUUCUGUUAUCUGUGGUAAUUGAUCAGGAAUAACAGUGAUUCUUUUCCAAACUUCAGUCUCCUUCCCCUUCACCAUGAGCUCCAGUCUUGGAGAAAGAGAUCUAAUCUCUGAACUUCUCUGCCAUGGGGAGAGAGAUCUGUGCUCCUCUCCUAUCUGAUAUUGCAGGAGGGGAAGAGAGAUGGGGUGUAGGGUAUUGGGACUAAUGAUGGAGUGGCAAAACAGGGAAAGCUCCGAAUCUGCAGUCUACAGACUCUGUUGAGGACUGAAUUACUUAGAAGGUAAUUCAGAUCCUGCUCUUAAUGACCUAUAAUUCAAAUUCUGGUAGAUGACUUGAUAGUCCCCUGAAUGUUUGAAAAUCUAAUACUUAGUUUAGUCUUCUUUUAUGGAACACUUGCCACUAUUAAAUUUAUCUCCAAUCCCAAGUUGCUUUCAUUUUAUUUUCUUGCAGCGGUGCACACAAAAUAAUUCAAGGAGCUGUUGUUGGAUUUCAGAAGUUUUGUGAACACUUGAAGCCCUGGACCUACAUCUCUGAUUAUGGCAAUUCUUGCUGAGUUUCGAAGGCUGAUGUCAUCUAUGCUCGCAGUCCACACAUUCUUGAAAUUAGCCAUGCAGUUGUUUGAGUUAUAUGGUCAUUGCACAUCCUUGACUUUGGCCAGUUUAGGGACGUGAUUAAAGGAUCCUGCACACAUCAUAUGGCUGUGGCUGUGAUGUUUCAUAAGUUUGAAAUACCUCCCAAUUAGUCUACCAUUUGCUUGCAUGAACCUUUGGUCAUCCAAAGACAUAGGUUUUAUCACAGCUUUGAGGUGCUCCUCUGUCUUGCAAGAAAGCAUGUGUUAACUUUGAUUUAAUCAAGAUACAUCGAGGCAAGUCUGAGUUCCAACACCAGCUGUGAUCCUAAUUUAUGAAUGGUGUAGCGAUCACCCUGCUUUGGGUCAGGUAGAAGAUUAUUUGCAUGUACCAAUGAGAGCAGUUGGGAGGCGGAGCCAGAGAAACUAGAAGGGAGGGGUGAGUGAGAGUCUAGUCAAUUCAGUCAGAGACAGAGUUUGGGGGUUUGAGGCAGAGAGAGUGUUUAAGGAGUGAUUAGUCAGAGUGUGACCUGUAUUAAUUAAGAUAGAAGAGGUUAAAGUAAAAUACUGAAGCUUUGUGUAACUUUAGGAAUGUGCUUAAGAACUAUUCCUAAAAUAACUUGUAAUCAAUAAACCUGUUUCUGUUUAAAAGUUCA
ensembl:lncRNA